rnacentral:rRNA from 1 species
AGAGUUUGAUCCUGGCUCAGAACGAACGCUGGCGGCAGGCUUAACACAUGCAAGUCGAACGCCCCGCAAGGGGAGUGGCAGACGGGUGAGUAACACGUGGGAACGUGCCCUAAGGUACGGAACAACUCCGGGAAACUGGAGCUAAUACCGUAUGUGCCCGAGAGGGGAAAGAUUUAUCGCCUUGGGAUCGGCCCGCGUCUGAUUAGCUAGUUGGUAGGGUAAUGGCCUACCAAGGCUACGAUCAGUAGCUGGUCUGAGAGGAUGGCCAGCCACACUGGGACUGAGACACGGCCCAGACUCCUACGGGAGGCAGCAGUGGGGAAUAUUGGACAAUGGGCGAAAGCCUGAUCCAGCCAUGCCGCGUGAGUGAUGAAGGCCUUAGGGUUGUAAAGCUCUUUCGGCGGGGACGAUAAUGACGGUACCCGCAGAAGAAGCCCCGGCUAACUUCGUGCCAGCAGCCGCGGUAAUACGAAGGGGGCUAGCGUUGUUCGGAAUUACUGGGCGUAAAGCGUAUGCAGGCGGAUCGUUAAGUCGGGGGUGAAAUCCCGAGGCUCAACCUCGGAACUGCCUUCGAUACUGGCGAUCUUCGAGUCCGGGAGAGGUGAGUGGAACUCCGAGUGUAGAGGUGAAAUUCGUAGAUAUUCGGAAGAACACCAGUGGCGAAGGCGGCUCACUGGCCCGGUACUGACGCUGAGAUACGAAAGCGUGGGGAGCAAACAGGAUUAGAUACCCCGGUAGUCC